rnacentral:rRNA from 1 species
UACGUAGGGUGCAAGCGUUAAUCGGAAUUACUGGGCGUAAAGCGUGCGCAGGCGGUUUGGUAAGACAGAUGUGAAAUCCCGGGCUUAACCUGGGGGCUGCAUUUGAUACGUGCGAUCUGGAGUGAGGAAGAGGGUCGUGGAAUUCCCAGUGUAGAGGUGAAAUUCGUAGAUAUUGGGAAGAACACCGGUGGCGAAGGCGGC